GCGGGUGUAGUACAAUGGCUAGUACACCAGCCUUCCAAGCUGGUGAUACGGGUUCGAUUCCCGUCACCCGCACCA
rnacentral:tRNA from 1 species